UUUGCAAAUAGCCUUGAGGUUAAAAGUUUAUGUACCUCAUUCCCGUAAGCCUUUCUCCUCUUUGGUUAGAGUAUCAUGCAAAGCAGAAACAGCACAAAAAAUGUAGGCACACAAUUAGAAGGAAGUAUUGGUGAAAAAACAAAAUAAAGCACCUUGAAGAAUAAGUCCCUCAAGUGAUUAUUAACUGAAAGUGAAGAUUUUAUCAAACAAACAUAGUUGCCUGGAGCACUAUGAAGCCCUUGUUGGUCUGUAUGGUUUUCUUUCUGCUGUCAAGAUGUUGUACUUCCCUAAAUGGCAGACUGUAUCAGCUCUUAACACUGCAAGACUCCUGAGAGAUAUGAACACUAGAGAAAACUGAUUUUCAAGAGCUCUGAAGUACUAAAUGGAUGCAAGGUAUUAACAAAAUGGAUGCAAGGUAUUAACUUUCAGAACGGUGUGCUUUCCAAGAAGAGAUUCCCCAAUAUAUACAAGGAGAUGAUCCAACCCACCUUCAGAUGGCAACAUUUAAAUAAAAACAAAGACCUUCAGGAAAGGAUACAACCACCAUGGGCUUGUCAAACAAAACAUAUCCAUUUACUUCCUUCAAGGCUUUUGCAGCUGCUUUCUCAUCAGGAAGCCCAAUAAAUGCUUGUCCUUUCA